UACGUUCCCGGGCCUUGUACACACCGCCCGUCACACCAUGGGAGUCGGUUGUACCGGAAGUGAGCGUGCCAACCCGCCAGGGGGGCAACUCCCCAGGGUACGACUGGUAACCGGGGUG
rnacentral:rRNA from 1 species